rnacentral:misc_RNA from 1 species
GUCGUCGUUGUCGUCAGCGUCGUCGUCAACGUCAUCGGCGGAGGCGUCUCCACCACCCACCCGCGCUCUCAGUGUCAAACGAACGACGCGUCUGUCGACGAGUGGCGACUGUCGCGAUUACGAGAGAGAAAGAUCGCUGACACGCACCAUCUCCGAUUAACAAUAUCGUCGCUGUCGCCGCGAACGCCGACGUGUCGUGUCGUGGCGCGGGGAAUCGUCGUCGACAGGAUCGACGACGAUCUCUGGUGUGGUGUCUCGUCUCUUCUCUCCUCCACGACCGGCUCCAACUAAUUGUCGCCUGCUCGACUCACGUGGCGAUAGCGUCCAGAAAGUUUACGUCGGGUCGAGUCGAAGCGAACCGGUGUCCUUCAGCGGUCGGCACGAUCUCGUUGUUAUCGUCGUCGUCGUCGUCGAGGAGGCACCCUCGAAGUACAAGGGUAUCGCCCGUCGAAAGGGAAGCUGACGAGCCUUCUGGCCUCCUCGUCGUCGAAGACGACGUGGAUGUACGCGCUUCUCGACGAGGGUGGUUUACUACCGGACAGCAGCAGUGGCGUCGUCGAGAAUGACGCGGUGGUCGCGGGCGAUGGCGCCUGCGUGAACGGUCGUCUCCUCCACUAUCAUCACCACCAUCAGCACCAUCCCCAGCAUCGUCACCAUCAUCGUCACCACCAUCGCGAGCUGCAGCAGCAGCAGCAGCAGCAGCAGCAGCAGCAGCAACAGCCGCAACCACAGCCGCAACACUCGCCGGAACCCGAGCCGGAGCUGGACGAUCUCCUGCGCUUCCGCGGGUCCACAGGACAGGAGAUGGUCGUGCAGGAAAUGGCACAGGGCUAUACGCAGCUCCUUCACACGGCCCAGGAGCCGCAGGAGUUCAUCUCGCUGGACGAGCUGCCGCGCGUCCAUCAGGAGCACCACCGUGUGCAUGACACGUGCGCGCAAAUCGCCUCGUCCGCCUCCCAGCUCUAUCAGUACCAUCAGCCGCAGCAACGUGGCAGCCAUCAGCAACAACAGCAGCAGGAGCAACGGAAUUACUAUAGUCUCUCGACCGUGCAAGAAAGUUCCUGCCCCACGGUUUAUUUUGGCGAAAUAGGCACGGGUUCCGGGGUGGGAGAGUUAACCGCCGCCUCGGCGGGGGGUGGCGAAGGUCUCGCCCCGACUCCAACCCCCGCCAGCAACAGCAGCAGCAAUACCGCCACCCCCAGCAGCCCAAGCGCGACCACUACAACCACCAGCAGCACCACCACCACCAGCACCACCACCGCCACCACCACCGCCACCUCCACCAGCACCGCUACCAUCCCUCAAGUUGCAACAGGGGCUGAACCGCCCCAGCACAUGGAGACACCCCCGACGAUGGUCCCCGACCAGGCACCCGCCUCCGGCCAUCACUAUCACCAUCACCACCAUCAUCAUCAUCAUCAUCAUCGGCAUCAUCGUAGCACGUCCACCACACCCAGCCAUGGACCGGCGACUGACAUCUCGGAUGAGUAUGCACCGGUGUCCAGAAAGCGGAAGCUUUCCUGCCAUGUUGGAAGCGAUCUCUUGGACGACCUCGGAGACGACGCCAAAUCCGUUCGCACAAAUGACGACAGUAAAAAGCAGAACCACAGCGAGAUCGAGAAGCGCAGGAGGGACAAGAUGAACACGUACAUCACCGAGCUGUCGGCAAUGGUGCCGAUGUGUCACGCGAUGUCGCGGAAGCUGGACAAGCUGACAGUACUGAGGAUGGCGGUGCAGCACCUCAAGACCAUCCUCGGUGCCGUCACCUCGUACACGGAAGGUCACUACAAGCCCGCGUUUCUCAGCGACCAGGAACUCAAGACACUCAUACUUCAACUUGUCUUGUUUCAGGCCGCGGAGGGCUUCGUCUUCGUGGUGGGCUGUGAUCGUGGAAGAAUUCUCUACGUGUCCGAGUCCGUCUCGCAGACUCUCAAUUAUUCUCAGGGUGAUCUACUGGGUCAGAGCUGGUUCGACAUCCUGCAUCCCAAGGAUGUCGCCAAAGUGAAGGAGCAGCUCUCGUCGUCCGACCUAAGUCCGCGGGAGCGACUGAUCGAUGCGAAAACGAUGUUACCGGUGAAAACUGACGUGCCCCAAGGCGUAUCACGACUUUGCCCCGGUGCACGGAGAUCCUUCUUCUGUCGGAUGAAGCGUAAGGUCGAGGGGGUCCGUUGCGGUGAGAUGCAAGUGAAAGAGGAAGCCGACACUACUACUGGCUGCCACAGGCGAAAGAAGCAGCAAAACGUAGAAAAGUUGACUCCACUCUCCGAUGACGGAUUCAAUCUUCUUUCAAGAGGCAAAGCGAAAGCAGCCCGUGGGAAGGGACUGCGAGAAACUGUUUGAAACGAGGGGUACAAACGCGAGCGCGUCUUCUUUCGGACACUGAGAGAGCCGCACGCACGAUCGGAGACACGGCACGAGCAUUAUGCCGCGUGGCUCGUCAAAGAUUGGAAAUACUGCGUGAUCCAGUGCACGGGUUACCUCAAGUCCUGGGCGCCUGCGAAGAUCGGUCUCGAGGAGCAGGAAGGUGAGGCCGAUGGUGAGGCCUGCAAUCUAUCUUGCCUGGUCGCGGUGGGUCGGAUCCAAACGGCGAUAUCGACAGCCGCCUUGCCGUCGAGGAA